rnacentral:rRNA from 1 species
UAAAGCAAGAAAGGGCGUAUGGGGAAUGCCUAGGCACACUCCGGCGAAGAAGGACGCAGCAAACAGCGAAAUGCGACGGUGAGCGGUAAGCACGUGAAGAGCCGUCGAUAUCCGAAUGGGGGAACCCACACGGAGUCAUAUCCGUGUAUCACAUGUCGAAUACAUAGACAUGAUGAGGCGAGACGCAGGGAACUGAAACAUCUAAGUACCUGCAGGAAGAGAAAAUAAGAAUGAUUUUCUGAGUAGCGGCGAGCGAAAGGGAAAGAGCCCAAACCGAUUUGAGGAUCGGGGUAGUAGGAUCAUCGAGAAAUCUGACAGAGGAUCAUAGAGGAAUCACAUGGGAAGGUGAGCGAGAGAGGGUGAGAGCCCCGUACUCGAAAUGAGAGACUGGAGAGAGAUGACACCUGAGUAGGGCGGGACACGAGAAAUCCUGUCUGAAUCAGCCGGGACCAUCCGGCAAGGCUAAAUACGAGAGAGUGACCGAUAGUGAACCAGUACCGUGAGGGAAAGGUGAAAAGAACCCCGGGAGGGGAGUGAAAGAGAACCUGAAACCAUAUGCCUACAAGAAGUCAGAGCCCGUUAAAGGGUGAUGGCGUGCCUUUUGUAGAAUGAACCGGCGAGUUACUGUAUGGAGCGAGGUUAAGCAGGAUAUGCGGAGCCGAAGCGAAAGCGAGUCUUAAGAGGGCGCGAGUUGCAUGCAGUAGACCCGAAACCGGGUGAUCUAGCCAUGACCAGGUUGAAGUUGGGGUAAAACCCGAUGGAGGACCGAACCGACCCCCGUUGAAACGUUGGCGGAUGAGUUGUGGCUAGGGGUGAAAUUCCAAUCGAACCCGGAGAUAGCUGGUUCUCCCCGAAAUAGCUUUAGGGCUAGCGUCGAGAGAAGAGUUGCGUGAAGGUAGAGCACUGAAUAUGUGAUGGCCCCAUCUCGGGGUACUGAGCAUAAUCAAACUGCGAAUGUCACGCCAACAUGCUCGGCAGUCAGACAGCGGGUGAUAAGGUCCGUUGUCAAGAGGGAAACAGCCCAGACCAUCAGCUAAGGUCCCAAAAUGUAUGCUAAGUGGAAAAGGAUGUGGAGAUGUACAGACAACUAGGAGGUUGGCUCAGAAGCAGCCAUCCUUUAAAGAGUGCGUAACAGCUCACUAGUCGAAUGACUCUGCGCCGAUAAUUUACCGGGGCUAAGCAUACUACCGAAGCUAUGGAUCCCAAGGGAUGGUAGGGGAGCGUUCCAUGAACGGAGAAGUACGACCGAAAGGACGUGUGGAGAUCAUGGAAGAGAGAAUGCCGGUGUGAGUAGCGGAACGUGGGUGAGAAUCCCACGCACCGAAAACCCAAGGUUUCCAGAGGAAGGUUCGUCCGCUCUGGGUAAGUCGGGACCUAAGGCGAGGCCGAAAGGCGUAGUCGAUGGACAACAGGUAGAGAUUCCUGUACCCGUAUAUAUGUGAAGGAAUGACGGAGAGAGGAAGCUGCAGCCAGCGGCUGGAAGAGCUGGUGCAAGCGAGAUAUCGGGAUGGCAGGCAAAUCCACCAUCCGAAACGAGAAGGCGUGAAGCGUACGGAAAGCUACGGCGAGUACGGAAGGCAGUGGAGGAACUUCCAAGAAAAGUUUCUAACGUUAAGUAUAUAUGGCCCGUACCGAAAAUGGACACACAUGGGUGAGGAGAGAAUCCUAAGGUGAGCGAGAGAACUAUAGCUAAGGAACUCUGCAAAAUGACUCCGUAACUUAGGGAGAAGGAGUGCUCAUAGAGAUAUGAGCCGCAGUGAAACGGCCCAAGCGACUGUUUACCAAAAACACAGCUCUCUGCUAAGCCGCAAGGCGAAGUAUAGGGGGUGACGCCUGCCCGGUGCUGGAAGGUUAAGGGGAGGGGUUAACGCAAGUGAAGCCCUGAACUGAAGCCCCAGUAAACGGCGGCCGUAACUAUAACGGUCCUAAGGUAGCGAAAUUCCUUGUCAGGUAAGUUCUGACCCGC